rnacentral:rRNA from 1 species
GAUGAUGUGGGUGGUUCGCUGCUUGCGGCGUUGCGAAAAGUCCGCUGAACCUUAUCAUUUAGAGGAAGGAGAAGUCGUAACAAGGUUUCCGUAGGUGAACCUGCGGAAGGAUCAUUG